rnacentral:ncRNA from 1 species
UUUUAUGACUCUACAUGGUCUGAUAUUGUGAAGAGUAAUGAGAAGCGCAGCAGAGGUGAACAAGUCUGUCAGCAAUAAACUACUACCACUUCCAACAAUUUCUUACUUGUUUUGGAGAAAGAAAAUUGAGCCCCCGUACUUUUCUCCUUCUCUCAACAGAACCAUCUAGUACCCUUAAGACCCUGCCGAACAGAGUCAGGUGAAGAUUUCUCGCGAGGUACAUAUGUCUAGUCAUAAUACACCUGUCCUAGGAUAGGGUUAAAAAGAUGCUCUCCUAGAUCAAUGGGCAAAAGCUCACUAAAUCUUGACUUUCAGUAGAAAUAAAGACCAUAUAAGCGCAGCGUGUCAAUCCUUCUAUUACAGAGGGUCUUUGAUAAGAGCAAAAAGGUCACUACA